rnacentral:rRNA from 1 species
AACGUAGGAGGCGAGCGUUAUCCGGAUUCACUGGGCGUAAAGCGCGCGUAGGCGGUUAGGUAAGUCGGACGUUAAAGCCCCUGGCUCAACUGGGGGAGGUCGUUCGAUACUGCUUGGCUUGAGGAUGAGAGAGGAAAGUGGAAUUCCCGGUGUAGCGGUGGAAUGCGUAGAGAUCGGGAGGAACACCAGUGGCGAAGGCGGCUUUCUGGCUCAUUUCUGACGCUGAGAGCGCGAAAGCGUGGGGAGCAAACGGG